rnacentral:miRNA from 1 species
UUGGAAUGGGGGAGCCGGGGUCGGGCGUGGAGCUUGGAGGCCUCACCCUGUCUGCGCCCUCAG